rnacentral:misc_RNA from 1 species
GGAAAUAGUGGUCCUUGUAUGGUAAGUGGCUGCUUCUGAUUUUCCUUCAUUAGUUAUUUUGCCUUGAAUUCCAAUUUUCCUAAUAACUUUGAUUCUUAUAGUUCAAAAGACAUUGCUACUGUUGCAAACAUGUUCUUGCCUUGCAGUAAUAGAAAUUAGUUUCCAUACAUAAUUGAUGAAAGAUGCCUGUAUUUUUUAAUUUAAUUCGUUAAGCAUCUCUCUGGUAGGAACCUAUACCAUGCUAAAGUUUUUGGUUUUCGAUUUAAUUUGUUAAGCAUCUCUUUAGUAAUCUGGAAGGUUCAUUGUUUAUCUAAAAGUUUUAAGCUUGAGAAUCUGCAUUGCUCAACUUACUCAUCUGAGCUUUAUACAAUUUACUCCUUUCAUAUGUUACAUCAUUUGUCUGCUCAAAUUGAGCGAUAAUUUUAUCAUCCUAGCUAUAUUUGGAACUUCUGAAUGAACUUCGAC